UCUGAGUUUAGCCGUCGAGAUUCUUCUUCUCCUCCAUCCUCUUCCUCUUACUCUUCAACAGUCGGAAACUUCAUCUCUGUAACGUAUUCCGUUUCUUUCUUUAGUCUCAUCAUUUACUUCUCCCCACUACUCAUCCCACUCUCUAUGAACUAAACAUCAUCAUUAUCAGCAGCGGUAACUGCUUCAAGCUCUGCACUAUAAAUACCUUCUUUUGCUUCGAUGAAGAGCCACAGUUCACUGAAAUCUCUGACUAAAACCUUUAUCAAGCUUUGAUAUCAGAAAUGGCUUCCUACACGCCGCUUGCUAACUUGAGAACCGGUCGCUGUUCUAACAACGCUGAGGUCCGGCUACUGAGGUUUUGGGAGGCUCAGAAUAUCAGGAAAGGUGGGGAACUGAUGAGUCUCGACAUGCUUCUCUUGGAUGAGCAGUCGACGCUUAUCCAAGGAACCGUCAAUGCGGCUCGACUCGACACGUAUCGAGAACUUUUUGUUGAAGGAUCUGUGUACUCGCUUAGUGGUUUCGACGUUACACGUAGCGACAACAAGUUUCGUCUCUCUGAUGCCCCUGUCUCCAUUCGAUUCACUGAUGGUACAGUCUGAUGAGUUAACAGAGUUUGAUAAGUCGAUACCAACUGAGAUGUUUCGAUUCCAAAGCUACGACCAGCUAUUGGCACUGGCAGAUACCAAUAGACAGCUACCAGAUAUACUUGGAGUUAACUGCUAUCAGGAGCACCAUCAAUAAUGGAACCCAGGGUUCGUAGCGUGUCAUGCUUACACUACGUAUACAAAGGAACGUCAAUGUGUGUGUUAGCCUGUUUGACGGUUUAGCUUUCGCAUUUACUGAGAAGAUGACAAGAAACGGUCGUGAGCCAAAAGUUAUCUUGAUCACUAGCAUCAAUCCCAAGGUUGUUGGAGGUCGAUUAUUCCUCAAUGGGACUUCUGGGACCCACAUCUACUUUGACUCACAGCUGCAGGCAAAGAACGCUAUACACAGUUGUUUGGAGAUGGCUCAAAUCAAAUAUCAUCUUCGUCGAAGCUGAUUCAUGCUCAGAAGAUAGUACCCCUAACUGUCUCUGAACUUAACCAUCAUGUCCUCUCAGCUGACCCUCAGGUGAUCGAGUUCCUUUGUACUGCCAAAGUAACUGGCAUCCAGUUUGAGGAAGAAUGGUGUUAUAUUGGUUGCGCAAGCUGUUCUAAGAAGCUCGUGAAAGAGGUCUCAGCCUUCACAUGCCUCUCUUGUGAUUAAAAAAAGCGCUGUCGCCUCACUCAGGUACCGUGUGGAGCUAUCUGUGGCAGACAAUACUGGGGAUGCAGUAUUUGUUGCUUUUGAUUUGGAUAUGGCUAAACUAACCAACAUUCCUGCUGCUGAAGUUGCGGAAGUUAUAAUUAAGUUAGGAGAGUUCAACUUCACUUUUAAGCAUCAAACCUUCACUAUCUCCCGUAUAUUUUCAGUGGCUCAGCGUGCACCACUCCCAGACUUUGUGGGCGAUGUGAAUUUCAUAGACUUUCAAACUGAUCUGCUAUCUAUUUAUAAUAUGACUAAGUUAUUUGCUGGGUUUUGAUCAGGGUGCUCAACAUGGUCCGAAUGAUGGGUUGCAGGUCCAGAAUCCAAUCUCAAGUUUGGUGCCGGUUUGUAACAGUAGCACUAUUGUUGAGACCUCUGGUGGC